rnacentral:rRNA from 1 species
GGGCGGUUCGCCGCCCGCGACAUGGCGAGAAGUCCAUUGAACCUUAUCAUUUAGAGGAAGGAGAAGUCGUAACAAGGUUUCCGUAGGUGAACCUGCGGAAGGAUCAUUG